rnacentral:lncRNA from 1 species
UUCUGUAUCUCCUGGGCAAAGUUGUCUUCAUUGGAAAUAAACCAGGAGCUCUGAAAAAAGAUUCACAGGAUAUAUAUCAUUUGUACAAUUCUGUCUUGAGAUAAAAGGAGAAAAAAUAUUGAGAAUAUAUAGGAUGUUGCCCCCGCAUUGCCACUUUGCUAGUUCCGGUAAAUUGAGUAAAUUGAGAUGAGUGGAUGAUACAUACAUUGGAGGCAGAGGCACUAAUGUGGAGCGAAGUAGGAAGCUGUCCCUGUGUCUCUCCUGUGUGUAGCCACAACCUCUGGAGGCUCCAACGACCAAACCGGACGAUGCUCCCGUCCCCCAAAUACCAGCACUGCCACGAAACCUUCUCCA